AGAUAUGAGGGUGAUCUGGCUGCGACAUCUGUCACCCUAUUGAUCGCCCAGGAUUGAUGUGGCUGAUCUUGCUGGCUAGGAAGGUGACGUCCCUCCCUCAUUGCUCCAUAUGUGUCCCUCCCAAAACUGCCCACUUGGUCGGCCUUCCCCGAUAGAGGAGGACCGUUCUUGGGUCAAGGGUCUACUAAUUGCUGUGCUCCCUUGCUAGAACCUGCACACAAGAUCUCAAGGUCCAUUUGUAGGAGAAUGUAGGGUAGACAAACUUCCAGGACUCCAGACACAUCCUAAUGAGCCUGCAUGUGGCAGUCUGCCUUUCUUU
rnacentral:snRNA from 1 species